UCCCCUGUAGCUCAGUUGGUAGAGCAUGGUGUUUGCAACACCAGGGUUGUGGGUUCGAUUCCCACGGGGGGCC
rnacentral:tRNA from 1 species